rnacentral:siRNA from 1 species
AUUAAAGAUUCAACAUUCUUGAAC